rnacentral:rRNA from 1 species
GUCCACGCCCUAAACGAUGUCUACUAGUUGUCGGGUUUAAUUAACUUGGUAACGCAGCUAACGCGUGAAGUAGACCGCCUGGGGAGUACGGUCGCAAGAUUAAACUCAAAGGAAUUGACGGGACCCGCACAAGCGGUGGAUGAUGUGGAUUAAUUCGAUGCAACGCGAAAACCUUACCUACCCUUGACAUGUACGGAAGCCACGAGAGAUCGAGGUGUGCUCGAAAGAGAGCCGUAACACAGGUGCUGCAUGGCUGUCGU